UCUUGUAAUGUUUUUCUCACAAAGAAAUCCCAACCUGGGAUGUCUGACUAAGCCGCCAUUUCAAAGCGCUAAGGAGCCCCAGAAGCUGUAGGAAAAUUUUGUACGUUUCAUUUUUAUUUUUCUAAUGCAUUUUAUUUUUAUUAGCUACUAGGGGGAGUAUAUUACUUUUUGAAUCUACCUCGACUGCACCACCAACUGAAAUGGAUGCAGAAACAGAAGAGAAGGUCACAGAAACUUCUAAAACUUCCAAGGAUGAAUCUGAGAAAUCUGUAACUGAACUCAAAUUCAGGGGUCGUGGUUUCAGAGGCCGUGGCCGAGGUGGGCGUUUGAACCGAGGUGGUAUGCGUGGUGGACGGGGCAUGAUGAAAAGUUUUGGUCCACCGGGACGUGGGAGGGGUCGAAUGAAGGACCCAGAUAUGAAUGGCUUUGGGCCAAUGAGAGGAAUGGGGAGGAUGCGACCUUACCCAGACCUUAGAGGUCACCGAGGUAGGGGUGGACCAAUGGGCAUGGGUCCUCCCCCUCCUCCCCCACCUCCUCACAUGCACCUCAGAGGACCCUUCCCACCCAUGCCCAGGCAUGGACCCCCUCCACCCCCUCCUCCAGGUCACCCUGGUUUCAGAGGGCGUCCACCACACCCUCGAGGUCGUGGCAUGCCACCCCCUGGACCUCCACGUCACUUCCACCCCCGUGGCCCAAGAGGCACUGUCAGUACAUUUUGCUGCCUCUUCAGCCUCUGCAGCCGCUGCUUGUUCCUCCCUGUGGUUGAUUGUAACAGAGUGACUGUUGUUGUCUCCUGAAGGGGGGCACACAGUACAGUUAACCUCCCGGGCCCCAGGAACCCAGGCCCUCCCUCACAUCUCUCCCCUCCUUCACCAGCGGCGUGAUGCCCGAGGUUCAGCACUUCACUUGCAAAGGUGAGCCUGUUGUGUGUUAAUCCUUGAACCCCUCCCUCUCUGACACCAGGAGAUUCUUUCUUUCAGGACGGACGUCGAAACAACCACAGGUGUGCCAGGAUUGUCAGGAAACGGACGAUUAAGGGUGACUCUGUACUGGGUUUUUUAAUCUUACAUUAUCAGAGAGCUUCUGCUCAAACAUCUCUGAUUCAUUUAAAGUUUUUUUGAGAUAAACUAUGGAAAAUAAAAUUGUAUAUGUGAAAAUUUAAAUUAAUAUAUCAUAUACAUUCUGGGGCUGCACAGUGGCGUAGUGGUUAGCACGUUUGCCUUGCAGCAAGAAGAUCCCCGGUUGAGAUCCUGGGGUGGGCCCGGGAUCUUUCUGCAUGGAGUUUGCAUGUUCUCCCUGUGCAUGCGUGGGUUUUCUCCGGGCACUCCGGCUUCCUCCCACAGUCCAAAAAUAUGCUGAGGUUAAUUGGUUACUCUAAAUUGCCCGUAGGUGUGAAUGUGAGUGUGAUUGUUUGUAUAUGUAGCCCUGUGACAGACUGGCGACCUGUCCAGGGUGUCCCCUGCCUUCGCCCGAGUCAGCUGGGAUAGGCUCCAGCACCCCCCGCGACCCUAAUGAGGAUAAAGCGGUGUAUAGAGGAUGGAUGGAUAUACAUUCUGCCGUUUUGCUUUUAUUGCCCUUCCACCCACUUUCAGGUCAUUUUUUUGCACAUCAAACUUUGAGGCUAAGUUUGGAUGUCAGAAUCUUAAUAGCUAUAGAAGAGAAAAGCCUAGUUAUUUUUUCAUGGUAUUGAUUCCAAAUAAGCAAUAUUGGACAAGUGGGUCAUUCCAGGUGAAAUGACCAGAUAUUCUUUGGGGGUGUUGCUGCACCAUUUUCAAAUUUUCACCAUUGUCAAAAGCUAAAGCCAUUCUGCAAAUUCUGGCUUACUUGGGCUCUUCCAGUUCCGUAGAAUGAUUGUGGCCCCGACCAUACAGACCGUUAAAAUCAAUCUAAGCUCCGCCUUAUACAGUCUUGAUGGAAGAAGAGACUUAUCUCAUAAUAGGCAUAGCUGUGUUGAUUCUGGUAGAGAUAAUUUAAGCCACUCCUCCCAAUUUUUUCAGUAGCAUCUUCCAGAAAGGAAGUACCCUUGAGCAGUCCAUAUAGCAUUAAAAAAAUGUCCCUUCUUCUUUAUUACAUUUCCGGCACUUUUGUCCUGGAUUAAUCCUACCUUAAACAAUUUCAGGAGUGUAAAAUAACAGCGAUGUACAAUUUUAUAGUGGACAAACUUCUUGCAUCUCUCGUAGCCCACCCCACAUUUGAAAUAACUCCUUUCCAUGUUUCCUGACUAAUCUCUUCACCAAGGUCUUUUUGCCAUAACAAUCUCAGACUUUUACACAAUCUUAACAUAAAUUCUUAAUAUAGGCGUUCAACGUCUUUUUCAGGCACUUUGGACGUCACACAUUCAGUGCAUUACACUAUUACUUAUUGGAAAAGAUGCUCAAAUGUAAACUCUUCAGCAAUUACUAUAAAUAUAAACUCACAUUCUAACAGUUAAUUUUGUCUUCAAAUCCAAGUUAUUUACUCAGUGGAACACCAAGAGAAUCCAUUUUGAUCCAAUCAAAGUUUCCACAAUGAUAAGAAUAACUUUCCCAUCAAAAUCUGGCUCACAUAAAUACUUCAGAUUACCAUUAUAUAUAUAUAUGUCAAUGUACAAAGAGGUGUGCUCGAAGAUGGGACUCUUCAUGAUGACUUAUACUGCAGAUUAUUCUAUGGCAGGAUGACAAAUACUAGUAAAAAUCUUGUGUGUUUAUCUUUAAUAAUUCCUGAGAUACUGUUAGUCCAACAGUUUUAAAUUUAAAGGUGGAAAAAAAUGUGCUGAAGUGGGUCGACGGGGAAACAAAGAUCAUUUCGAGAAGACACACGUCUUUAUGAAUAUCCAUAUUUUAUGUUAUAACAUUUUCAGGUACAGCAGAGAUGUUCCAGCAGAAACUGUUAUAAAAAUGUAAUAAUCUGGGAUGAAAUGAGAAACAAUGAAACCUCUUACAUUGUUUGCUAAUUGAAGGCGAGAAGGACAGAAGUAUAUAAAUAGCUUGAAAAUGAUGUAUUGGACAUCCAGUAGAGCUGCAUUAUUUUCAGGGCGUUGCUUUUGUACAUGUUGGUUCACUUUCUUACUGUCAUAUUUGAAUUAAACAGAGACAUUAUCAGAGGCAGACUUAUUAGUGACACUUCUGCUGGUAAGUUAAAAUAUCUGCUGUGAAAAAGGCCUGUUGCAGAGCCGAUCAUAGAGUUUUUUACCAACUUAAUUUCCACCUCUGCUCGUAAAUGUCAUCAUUACUACUGUCAGACUAGUUUUCUAACUAAAAUUAUGCUGUUUUUGAUUAAAGAGAUCUCAUAUUGAUGUAAGCAUGGAGCACAAAAGGAAGUCUGUGCAUUUUGGUGAACUGCUCAUAGCAAAUAAUCACGGUCAGUAGCAUCAGUAAUAGGUAUGGUGUAUACAGGAGAAAUCUGAACAAGCAUAUAAGCAAAGGGAUCACUGCAGUGGUAUGAAAUCUACUCUAAUAGUGUGACUAUGUUGUAUAGCUAAAAACGUUUGCAGUCACUCUGCAAGGUCUGCGCUGCUGUCUUUGUAAAAAUGAUACACUAAAUGUCUUUAAUAGAGUAAGAGUCCUCGGCAGUGCUUAAAUAGAGCAGUGAAAAAAAGUAUCUGAUGAUAAACACACCACUCUGACCAGAAAAUCUCCCUGAAAAUGAUCGUAAGUAUAAAGCACCAAUUGUCCAGAAUGUGUGAUGUUUUGUUUUCAAACUUUUUUUUUCUUACAUUUUGUAAUGUUUUUUUUUUUUUUUUUUGUAUGUCAAUUAUUUAAUAAAGACACAAAUUCAA